AAACAUAAAUCAACGCGCAACGUAUAAAUAAUAACUUGGGAUACGGGGACGAUCAGAGCCAAAAGGGGCCCUGGUGGGCAGCUAGGCCAGCUCUUUCGCUCCUGCACUCCACCGGCAGGGAGGCCCUGGGGCCGGUGCAGGCGCCGUCUCCCCCGGACUCUCCCCGGGAACGCACACCCAGCAUUUACAGCACCUAAACAAUGCAAGUGCUCAAAACAACCUGAGGCGGCAAGUAUUCCUGAUAUCCGUAAUCUACAGAGAGGAAAAACGAGUCUCCCGUGGGUAAUUGUGUCUGACUAAUUCAUUUGUCGCGGACCUGGCGCUGCCACUCUCCCCUGCAGCCCCGCCCCCUCCCCGCCGGCCCAGCGCACAAAAAGCGCACACGCACACGCCACAACGUCAUGCGCACGCCCACGGCAAACGUCACACACGCUACGCACGCGCGCGCUGUUCUCUACCCCGCAGCCAGUUCCCUCCCCACCCGCGGCCACAGGACUGUGCUUACACGCCAGGUGCAGGAACUGGACACGUAUGGACCCCGCGAGCCCGGGCACUCGCGUUCUCACGCCGUAUCUGGACCCUUCGGACAGAGACGCUCUCGCCCCGCCGUCCUUCAACUCCGCAGACACUGCAGGCUUUGGGGUCCCCACCUACCGCCGAAUUCUCGCCACCGCCCGCCCCGCCUUCCGGAUUUACAGAAGAGUUGCAAAGAUAGUUGCCGUAUGCCUUUCACCCAGAUUCUACUAGGUUGUCUUUCGUGA
rnacentral:lncRNA from 13 species